rnacentral:rRNA from 1 species
UACGAAGGGGGCUAGCGUUGCUCGGAAUCACUGGGCGUAAAGCGCACGUAGGCGGCUUUCUAAGUCAGGGGUGAAAUCCUGGAGCUCAACUCCAGAACUGCCUUUGAUACUGGAGAGCUCGAGUCCGGAAGAGGUGAGUGGAACUCCGAGUGUAGAGGUGAAAUUCGUAGAUAUUCGGAAGAACACCAGUGGCGAGGGCGGCUCACUGGUCCGGUACUGACGCUGAGGUGCGAAAGCGUGGGGAGCAAACAGG